GGUCCCUUAGCUCAGUUGGUUAGAGCAUCUGACUCAUAAUCAGAGGGUCGUAGGAUCGUGCCCUACAGGGACCA
rnacentral:tRNA from 1 species